rnacentral:tRNA from 1 species
AUUUUAAUAGCUUAAUAUAAAGCAAAGCAUUGAAGCUGCUUAUAUAGAUUUUCUUUAAAAUA